AUGCACGCUGGCGGCGUGCCUAAUACCUGCCAGUCGCGCGAACAGACGAGGAGCUUGCUCCUCUGACGUUAGCGGCGGACGGGUGAGUAACACGUGGAUAACCUACCUAUAAGACUGGGAUAACUUCGGGAAACCGGAGCUAAUACCGGAUAAUAUAUUGAACCGCAUGGUUCAAUAGUGAAAGACGGUUUUGCUGUCACUUAUAGAUGGAUCCGCGCCGCAUUAGCUAGUUGGUAAGGUAACGGCUUACCAAGGCAACGAUGCGUAGCCGACCUGAGAGGGUGAUCGGCCACACUGGAACUGAGACACGGUCCAGACUCCUACGGGAGGCAGCAGUAGGGAAUCUUCCGCAAUGGGCGAAAGCCUGACGGAGCAACGCCGCGUGAGUGAUGAAGGUCUUCGGAUCGUAAAACUCUGUUAUUAGGGAAGAACAAAUGUGUAAGUAACUAUGCACGUCUUGACGGUACCUAAUCAGAAAGCCACGGCUAACUACGUG
rnacentral:rRNA from 1 species